UCCGAUUCCUACGGGAGGCAGCAGUGGGGAAUAUUGCACAAUGGGCGAAAGCCUGAUGCAGCGACGCCGCGUGAGGGAUGAAGGCCUUCGGGUCGUAAACCUCUCUCGGCAGGGACGAAGCGAUCAGUGACGGUACCUGCAGAAGAAGCCCCGGCUAACUACGUGCCAGCAGCCGCGGUAAGACGUAGGGGGCGAGCGUUGUCCGGAUUCAUUGGGCGUAAAGCGCGCGUAGGCGGCUGCGCAAGUCGGUUGUGAAAUUCCGGGGCUCAACCCCGGAACUGCGUCCGAUACUGCGUGGCUAGAGGUAGGUAGGGGAGAUCGGAAUUCCUGGUGUAGCGGUGAAAUGCGCAGAUAUCAGGAGGAACACCGGUGGCGAAGGCGGAUCUCUGGGCCUUACCUGACGCUCAGGCGCGAAAGCUAGGGGAGCGAACAGGAUUAGAUACCCUGGUAGUCCUAGCCGUAAACGUUGGGUGCUAGGUGUGGGCGGAUAUCGACCCCGUCCGUGCCGAAGCUAACGCAUUAAGCACCCCGCCUGGGGAGUACGGCCGCAAGGCUAAAACUCAAAGGAAUUGACGGGGGCCCGCACAAGCGGCGGAGCAUGUGGCUUAAUUCGAAGCAACGCGAAGAACCUUACCUGGGCUUGACAUGCGGGGUGAAACCGUAGAGAUACGGCGCUCCUCGGAGCCCGCACAGGUGGUGCAUGGCUGUCGUCAGCUCGUGCCGUGAGGUGUUGCCUUAAGUGGCGCAACGAGCGCAACCCCUGUCCUUAGUUGCCAGCGGGUAAUGCCGGGAACUCUAGGGAGACUGCCGGUGCCAAACCGGAGGAAGGUGGGGAUGACGUCAAGUCAUCAUGCCCCUUAUGUCCAGGGCUGCACACAUGCUACAAUGCGCGAUACAGAGGGUUGCGAUCCCGCAAGGGGGAGCGAAUCCCAAAAAGUCGCGCUCAGUUCGGAUCGGGGUCUGCAACUCGACCCCGUGAAGUCGGAGUCGCUAGUAAUCGCAGAUCAGCAAUGCUGCGGUGAAUACGUUCCCGGGCCUUGUACACA
rnacentral:rRNA from 1 species